UCCGGUCUGUCCCCAGCGGCUGGUCUUGCAGCCCCAGUCCCGCUUUGCAGAGCAGCUGGACAGCUUAAGGAGGAACGUCUUCUGAGACCACAGAGAGCAGUAACGACCCUGACAGCAGAAUCCGAACGAAAGACGCUGGAGAUGGUGAAUUGUCCAUCAACGUUCAAUGACAGAACAUGUUGGUGAAUUUGUCAAUGUCGAUGCAUAAUCAGACAGCUUACUUGAAUAAUUCCAAAUUGUGUGAGAAGCAGCAGUUCCCACGGAGCAUUAAGGAGGCACCGCAUGGAAAACCACAUUAAAUUCAUCCAGGCAAGAGCUCGAGGCUUCUGGGAAGAUAUCUGAACUUGGCAUUGAAGAAUGGAUGUCAUUAAGUGCAAAAUGGGGACUUUGACUUGCCUAGUACAUAAGGAUUGCCAUGAAGACCAAAUGGUAAGGAUCACAGACUUUGGAGCAACAUGAACUAGGUAUCAGGAGCUUAGGUAGGUAAUCCCCUUCACUUCAUUGAGCCUCGGAUUCUCUUCAGUAAAAUGGCUGUGAUAUCUACUUUGCAUGCUUGAUAUGAGGAUUAACCGAAAUAAUGGA